rnacentral:rRNA from 1 species
UACGAAGGGGGCUAGCGUUGUUCGGAAUUACUGGGCGUAAAGCGUGCGCAGGCGGUUUCUCAAGUCAGGGGUGAAAGCCCGGAGCUCAACUCCGGAAUUGCCUUUGAAACUGUGAAGCUAGAGUGCGGGAGAGGUGAGUGGAAUUCCCAGUGUAGAGGUGAAAUUCGUAGAUAUUGGGAAGAACACCGGUGGCGAAGGCGGCUCACUGGCCCGUUUCUGACGCUCAUGCACGACAGCGUGGGGAUCAAACAGGAUUAGAUACCCUGGUAGUCCACGCCGUAAACUAUGGAUGCUAGCCGUUGGGUAGCUUGCUACUCAGUGGCGCAGCUAACGCCUUAAGCAUCCCGCCUGGGGAGUACGGCCGCAAGGUUGAA